CAGAAGUUGUCAGAAGUUAAAAGGAAUGUCUCAGGAGUAAGAAAACCUUGACUAUCUGGAAGUAAGAAAAGAUACCGAUGAUUAAAUAAAUCUGCUAAAGAAUAAGAACAGAAAACCAAGAGUCAUGCUUAGUUUUCAGUCCAGUAAGAAUACAGAUAUGACAUUUUGAUUUUUUUUUCCAUUAAUAAGCUCUCCUUUAAAUUUAUCACAGGCUCUGUUACUGUCAAGGUCCCAUCUUCUCCUCAAACCUAUUUACAGUUAUCAGGAAAAGAGGUUGAUAUGAACCCAGAAGUCAAUGUUCAGGAAGUGGCUGAAGAUGAUAAAGAUGAUGGUGUAACAAUUAUUGAUCAGGUCUCCUUCUGGCUGCGCUGGACCUGCGCACGCGGGGGACUUCCGCAUCGGGCCCUCCAGCCUCCCGCAGCGUCCCGCAGCGCCCUGGCGGGCAGCAGCCUGGGUGGUAGCGGCGCGCUUGGUGCUCGGCGCCAGCACCUGCUACUGCCAUCUACAGGCUGAGGCGGGGCCCGCGGCGAGGCGGCCGGGGGCAUCGGCUGAGCCCCUCUGGAUCUGCAGGCUCUGUUACUGUCAAGGUCCCAUCUUCUCCUCAAACCUAUUUACAGUUAUCAGGAAAAGAGGUUGAUAUGAACCCAGAAGUCAAUGUUCAGGAAGUGGCUGAAGAUGAUAAAGAUGAUGGUGUAACAAUUAUUGGAGGAAGAAAGAGAAUAUACAGAUAUCAGAAAGAAGUAUAUCUAACUUGUAAAUGAAGCUGUUUUGAAAUCAGAAAGGCUUUCCUGGGAAGUUGGUUUGAAUGACAAGACUGUACUAAAAACAAAAUGACUGGUGACCAGUUUUCCUGUCUGGGCUUUAGAAACAAGUUUCUGGCUGAAGCGAAACUACAGUGUAACCCACUGGCUGUCAUUUCACGUGGACCCAUGGAGCAAGAAGUCGUUGACUCAUCACCUUCUAUCACCCCAAGAGCUACAGAUCAAAGAUUUAUCAACUGAGUCCUUGUAAGCCCUCUGCCAAGACCACCAGAAAAGUGAGUUUUCCUUUCCCUUCCUUGGGUUCACAUUGACAGGUGAAUGAUUUCCAUUUUGAUCAAAGCUACUGUCUACUCCUUUACAUCUGACCUCUUAACUGUGUGUACACAGAAGGCAUCAAAGGGACAGCUGGAAAUCAGACAUGUCACUGUGUUAGUGUGUACCUAUGUGAACAUUAUGGUUAACACA